rnacentral:misc_RNA from 1 species
GACAUGCGAUAAGUAAUGUGAAUUCCAGAAUUCAGUGAAUCAUCGAAUCUUUGAACGCACCUUGCGCUCCUUGGUAUUCCUUGGAGCAUGCCUGUUUGAGUAUCAUGAAAUCUUCAAAGUAAAUCUUUUGUUAACUCAAUUGGUUUCUACUUUGGUAUUGGAGGUCUUUGCAGCUUCACACCUGCUCCUCUUUGUUCAUUAGCUGGAUCUCAGUGUUAUGCUUGGUUCCACUCGGCGUGAUAAGUUAUCUAUCGCUGAGGACACUGUAAAAGGUGGCCAAGGUAAAUGCAGAUGAACCGCUUCUAAUAGUCCAUUGACUUGGACAAUACUUUUAUGAUCUGAUCUCAAAUCAGGUAGGACUACCCGCUGAACUUAAGC